rnacentral:rRNA from 1 species
UACGUAGGGGGCAAGCGUUGUCCGGAAUCAUUGGGCGUAAAGAGCGUGUAGGCGGCCCGAUAAGUCCGCCGUGAAAGUCAAGGGCUCAACCCUUGGAUGCCGGUGGAUACUGCAGGGCUAGAGUCCGGAAGAGGCGAGUGGAAUUCCUGGUGUAGCGGUGAAAUGCGCAGAUAUCAGGAGGAACACCGAUGGCGAAGGCAGCUCGCUGGGACGGUACUGACGCUGAGGCGCGAAAGCGUGGGGAGCGAACAGG